rnacentral:rRNA from 1 species
AUUGAACGCUGGCGGCAGGCCUAACACAUGCAAGUCGAGCGGAUGAAGGGAGCUUGCUCCUGGAUUCAGCGGCGGACGGGUGAGUAAUGCCUAGGAAUCUGCCUGGUAGUGGGGGAUAACGUCCGGAAACGGGCGCUAAUACCGCAUACGUCCUGAGGGAGAAAGUGGGGGAUCUUCGGACCUCACGCUAUCAGAUGAGCCUAGGUCGUAUUAGCUAGUUGGUGGGGUAAAGGCCUACCAAGGCGACGAUCCGUAACUGGUCUGAGAGGAUGAUCGGUCACACUGGAACUUAGACACGCUCCUGGCUCCUACGGUAGGCAGCAGUGGGGAACAUUGGGCAGUGGGCGGAAGCCUGAUCCAGCCGUGCCGCGUGUGUGAAGGAAGUCUUCGGAGUGUAAAGCACUUUAAGGUGUGAGGAAGGGCAGUAAGUUGAUACCUUGCUGUUUUGACGUUACCAACAGAAUAAGCACCGGCUAACUUCGUG